rnacentral:lncRNA from 1 species
AUGGCCAAGUCCACACCAUACACCACCAGUCCCGAAAAUGGCACAGAAAUGGUAUCAAGAAACCGCGAUCACAAAGAUACAAAUCUCUUAAGGGGGUGGACUCCAAGUUCCUGAGGAACAUGCGCUUUGCCAAGAAGCACAAAAGAAGGGCCUAAAGAAGAUGCACACCAACAAUGCCAAGGCCAUGAGUCCACGUGCCGAGGCUCUCAAGGCCCUCGUAAAGCCCAAGGAGGUUAAGCCCAAGAUCCCAAAGGGUGUCAGCCAUAAACUUGAUCGACUUGCCUACAUUGCCCACCCCAACCUUGGGAAGCUUGCUCGUGCCCGCAUGGCCAAGGGGCUCAGGCUGUGCCGGCCCAAGGCCAAGGCCAAGGAUCAAACCAAGGCCCAGGCUGCAGCUCCAGCUUCAGUUUCAGCUCAGGCUCCCAAAGCUGCCCAGUGCCCUACAAAGACUUCAGAGUAG